CCGUGGCUAUGUGGUCUGGAAAUUGAAGAAGAUGACCUCUUCUUUCUAUCCAGAGUGGCUUGUCAUCCUUAAAACCUUCCCAAGACCUUGUCAUUUCCAUCCUUGACCUAACCCAAUAUUCUUUUUCUAGAGAAUAUUCCUUUUUCUAUUAAAGGAACUAGCAAAGUGGCCCGCUCGAUGCACUGGCUAGAUCUUUAGAAAGUUUAAUAAUGAGAGUAUGUUAUUUGUAUUAAAAAUUUGGGACCAAAUAUGAUGACAUUUGAAAUAUAAUACUUUUGCGAACAUAGUUCUUUUUUUGCGGGGAUUGCGAACAUAGUCCUAUAUUUAUUAUUCAUUUAUCAUUUACAUGCUUAGUAUGCAUGUCGUAGUAAAUGUAUUUUUCAUGAUGAAUCCCGUUGGGCAAUUCAUGGUUUUUAUAAUUUGUCUAGCAUUUUCACUUUAAACAUGGAUUUAUUUGCACGCAACAAAGUAAAUAUUGGUUAUUUUUUUAGUUGUUCGUUAGUGGCGGUUGUAAACACAAUUUUACCUUUAUACAUAUCCUUGGUGAUUUUCCCUGUAAGGGAAUUUUCCUUCCAUGUUUUAGAAAAUAUUGGUCACGAACAUUCUCAUCAAAAUCAUCGGGAGUGCGUUGCUCCAACCCAUGGGUUUCCUUGAUGCGACCGCACAGAUGGGUCUUGUAAUUUCUUUAAAAGUCUCCUACCCCUUACAUUACUAACGAAUUGAUGUUUGUCGUGUGUGGCAGUUUGACAUGAAAUGGUAGUUCGAUAUGCAUAAUCUAAAUAUAAAUGAUUGAUACCGGAUAGACAUAUUUUUAUGAUCAUGUACUAUAAUUAUUUUUGCAUGCAUUUGUUUAGAAUAUUCUGAGAGAAAAUUAUGCUAUGAUUUAGGUUCAACCCACGUCGUGAACUCUAUCAUUAUAGUGCGUAUAUACUGUAAGUAAUCUUAUUUUGUGCGUAUGUAUGAGUGCAUGCGUCUGUAGUAAUCUUAUUUUGUGUGUAUGUAUAAUUGAAUUUGCAUUUUGUGUUGUUUGUACAUAAAGGAAACUUUUUCUGGUGGAUUUAUUUGUUGUGCUUUAGCCCAACAGAUUCACACAGACGUACACAACCUUCAAGUCUUUUCUCUCGCACUCUUGGCUCAAACAAAAAAAAUCUUCUCUCGCACUCACACCUUUGCCGUUUCUAAUCCUCAAAAAAAAAAAAAAAGAGAUUGCUGUUUCUUGAUCCCCUUUUCAUUUCCUUCCUUCCUCUCGCUCCUCCUUCCACCUGAUGAGCUCUGACUGUUAGCGCUGCUCAACUCACUGGUGCGGCCAUGGGGUGGCCGUCUACGGUGCUUGGUUUGGCUCCUAUACUCGUCGAUCUCUCAGACCGGUCAACGGCGACGGAGUGGUAGCAGGGCCCAAGGGAGAAGCGGCUCAAGGGAGGAAACGAGCUCGUCGAUCCUGACGGCGCUGUUGCCGUCGGCGUCCAUCCAGGUGAUGUGGGUGUGGAUCUUGUCUCCCGCAGACAGGUUGGAUCCACCUUGAUUGUGAGAUGCUGACGGUGUUGUUUUCGAUCGCAUCGUCGCUGCCUCCCGAGCGAGGCAGCCCGGUAGGUCAUCUUCAUCCUGGACUGGCAGCCUGAUUUCGGCAGCUCAUUCUUCCACUUGCAGGUCCCCCUUCUCUCUUUUCCUACCCCUCUCAUGUUUUUGUUUCUUAUCCUUUUUCUGCAUGUGUAUGGGUAAACCAAUAUAAUGCGAUUAAGGUGUUGCUUGUUAGGAUGUAUAUAUCUGUUUAUGGCCCCCUGCCCCGUUCAUAUUCAACAAAUUUAGUAAGUAAUUAGUGUAAUCAUGAUUAGCCAUGUCUUACUAUUUAGUACUACCAAAGAAAAAGUUUAUAGGAAAAUAGGUGUGAUUGCAUCCUACUCCCUCCGUUUCCAAAAUACUUGACUUCCAUUUGUCCAAAAAUAGAUAUACCUAUAUACUAAAACAUGUCUAGAUACAUCCAUAUUUUGACAAAUGGAAGGCAUGUAUUGUGGAACGGAGGGAGUACAUAUGAACUAAAAUGAUGCGUGGAUGUUGACACUAUUGGCUUGUACUAUAGAAUAAUCUUUAAAUAUCAGAUAACACAAAGUGUCGACAUUUGGUAUUAACCAGCUAUUUCCACCAAAUGUUGAUGCAUGUUUCCAAUACUUCUAUGAGUAGUGGAUCAUAUCCAUUCUGCCAUAUAAUGCUAGCAUAGAAAAUUCAGUUUUUAUUUUGAAGAUAGUUUUGUAGUGUACUAUUUUUUCAUCUACUUAUGUUUAUCUAAAAGGCUAGUAGCAUCUGGAAGUUUGUUUUUGUUCCUACCUUUAGAAUAUUUUUGUGUAUACUAUGUUCUUGACCACAUCUUCCUUGUUGUUAGUUUAUUUGCUAUAGAAAAGAAAAUAACAGGUAUGGUCAAGUUAGUAGGCUAUUACUGGCAAGUGUUUUCCCAAAGUAUCUCCUUUUUCUUAUGUCCCUCAUGAACUCAUUGAGCUUUGUGUGGAACAUUCGAUCAACAAUAUCAGGUUUCUGUGAUGUUCUUUGGCCUACUUCCAUAAGCAUAGAUUGAAUAUCCGGCCAAGCUGUGUUGCACGUGAAUGCCACAAAUAGGUCUGUGUAUCAAGCCCAUCGACAUCUUGCUAUAGCAUCUUGGUAGUUUUGUGCUUGUAUCUUAGGUUAUCUGUGAAGCUGGAUGGCAGUAGUAUUCUCCUUCCUACCUUGUCAGCCCUUGUAUCUCCUCUUUAUGUUGCAUCCUGCAAGUCAGCAUAUAAUUCUGCUCUUAUGUUUCCUUGAUGUUUUUUGGACCAGUCUAGUUUGUACUACAAAAUGCAUGCAAGGGCAUCCAUGUUGAACUUCCGAAGUUGCUCGUUCGUUGAGGUUCUUCUCGCCUUUAUGCAUGUCCAAACGCCCUUCUCAAGUUGCUCUUUCUUCAUACCAGAAAAUUGCACCACACCAUUCACACUUGCGCCUUGGACUUUCGAAGUUCCAAAUUUCCAUAUCAGUCCUUUUCAAUGUCCUGUUUAAGUUUCUGAAUUUAGCAUCAAUUUGAAUAUUAGUAUGUUCUUUUUUCUUACUAAUACAACAAACUUAAUAGAACUGACAUAUCUGGUUAUUCUGCCCUUGAUUUUUUCUAUUGUACACUUUGUGUUACUUUUAGUCAUGUACACAUGCUUAACAGAAUUACCAGGUUCAUGAAUGUCCAAAUUGUAGAUCUUAAUUGAAUUUUCUUGCUACUUACUUCGUAGUUUUACCAGCCUAUGCUUUCCUGUGGCAAUUCAACAAUGCUAAUUUUGCCUCAGUCAAUGCACAUGAUUGACAUCUGUACAUGAUAUGGUUCCCUGUGGUAAUUCAACAAUGCUGAUUUUGCCUCCGUCUUGAUUAAGCCCUGUUGCAUGGAAAUGUGUUUUCAUGUUUAAAAAAAGCUAAUAGGUACAAUCAGGAACAAAUGCAACAUGUUUUUGUGAUUCAAUAUAGCACUUGGAAGGAACGGAACACAUAGAUAUCACAAUUGAUGCGCAAAGAAGACGCAAGCUAUAAUGUUGCUUCCAGUAUACCAUACUACAGUUGUGCAACAUGUAAGGGAAGUUUAGCAAUUGAAUUAAGAACAGUAAGUUAAGAUAGUGGAUGAUAAUACACAUAAGAAUACCUUUGUGAUGAUUUGCUUAUGGCACGUGGUUGGCAUAUUUGUGCUGUCUGGCACAUCUCCAUGUAUGAUCGAACGCUGUCUCUUGUUGUUGUCUUGAAGUUUCAUUCUCCUUUCCUAAUCCUAUCUUGUUAUUAUUGAUUGUCUGGAUUCACAUCAAUAUUAUAAUAUAUUUUUUCUGCCCAUGCUUAAAUCAAUUAUGAACACAAAUGUGCCUAACUGGAAUUGUUGCAUUAUAUAAUUUAGGUGUAACCGUUUUGUGAUAUCACUUAUUAAAAGUGCAUGAUUAGCAGCGGAUCACCUUGUUGGAUUGUAUAUUUGAUUGCUUUUAACUACCUUGGCAGGUUUCUCACAUUAUUGCAAUGUGGUCCACCUUUUAUUUUCAUCGUUUCUUCCUGCACAAAAUAGAAAACAUGUAUUAUAGAGGAUGAUAUUGUAAAAUUGGUACCAAGUACUGCUGAAGGUUAUGGAGAUCUAUGAUUCUGAUUAAUUAUUCACCUUACAAUUUUUUGUUUUGUUGUAGAAGUAAAGGAGAUCAACUUCCAAGAUCAGUGAUUGUGGUGAAAGCUUUAAUGUUAAAGUGGAUGUUAAGUUUCAAUCAUCAUGAUGAAGACACAUAUUUGUGAGGGUCUGUUACCCUUCUGUUGUUUUUAGAUGAUAGUCUAUAUGAAACCAUAUAUGGGUGAAGAAUUAGAUUGUAAUUGGGGAUGGCAAGUUCAUGCACAAUUACGAUUGAAGAAUCGCAAGGGAACUUGCCUGGUCUAAAUUUGGAAGCUAUUUGAUUAUGUACCUUGAGUUGAAACGUGGUAUGUACCUUCGAUCAUGUUCCUCCGUGAUUUUCAUGGUGAUUGGGAAUCAAGUGGUGUAGACUCGACGGGGAUGACUUGGAAUGAGAGGAGCCAUGGCAAGCUAGCAUUAAAGGAGGAAGGGACUCACGCAGGUGAUCUUCCAACAUAGAUUUGUUUGUAGAUGCGUUUUCUAUUGGAUUGUAAGGAGGGAGGUAUAUAAAUAGAUUAUUAUAUCCAUGGAGUAUAUUGUUUGAGAGAGAUACAAACUAA